rnacentral:rRNA from 1 species
UACGUAGGGUGCAAGCGUUGUCCGGAAUUAUUGGGCGUAAAGAGCUCGUAGGCGGUCUGUCGCGUCGGCUGUGAAAUCCCGGAGCUCAACUCCGGGCCUGCAGUCGAUACGGGCAGACUGGAGUUCGGCAGGGGAGACUGGAAUUCCUGGUGUAGCGGUGAAAUGCGUAGAUAUCUGGAGGAACACCGGUGGCGAAGGCGGCGUUCUGGACUGCAACUGACACUGAUGAACGAAAGCCAGGGGAGCAAACGGG